AACAAAUAGUGUUUUCUGCAGUUUCAGAAUUUGUUGUGGGUGUAUGGGAUGGUCUGGAUGAGUGUCAGAUUUCCGGAAGUCCAGCCCUGUUCUACAUGGUGGUUGUUCAGCCUUGAUACAUUCAUUAGCUAACAAAAGUUAAAUGUUAUUUUGUAUUAAUGUGUCAAUAUGACGUGAGGGCCAGUUACCAGCGUGACACUAAAACAGAUAAGACCCUUCUUCCUCAGCUGGGAUCGUUUACAACCAUAUUUGGGAUCGUUUGAAGCCUCAUUUAAACUGCAUUUUGGAAGUUCAAACUCGGGGCACCACAUCAGUCCAUUAUAUGGAGAAAAAUGGUGAAAUGUUUCCCUCAAAACACAUAAUUUCUUUAUGACUGAAGAAAGAAAGACAUGAACAUCUUGGAUGACAAGGGGACAGCAUCCACACGCAGCCACUGCUGGAAACCUGUGCGAGAGCACAGAUACCUGAGGAUCUUCAGAGCGCCUCCAGUACUGGAUGAGGUAGCUCAGCUUGUCGUCCAGCAGAGUUUUCAUGGACUCGUUAUUGCUGCUCAGAGGGUCG